rnacentral:rRNA from 1 species
GACGGAGGGCGCAAGCGUUGUUCGGAAUUACUGGGCGUAAAGCGCGCGCAGGCGGGAAGGUAAGUCUGGAGUGAAAUUCCGGGGCUCAACUCCGGAGCUGCUUUGGAUACUGUCUUUCUAGGGACCGGUAGAGGCCGGUGGAAUUCCCGGUGUAGCGGUGGAAUGCGUAGAGAUCGGGAAGAACACCCGUGGCGAAGGCGGCCGGCUGGGCAUUACCUGACGCUGAGGAGCGAAAGCGUGGGGAGCGAACAGG